CCUACGGGGGGCAGCAGUAGGGAAUCUUCCGCAAUGGACGAAAGUCUGACGGAGCAACGCCGCGUGAGCGAAGAAGGUCUUCGGAUCGUAAAGCUCUGUUGUUAGGGAAGAACAAGUAUCGGAGUAACUGCCGGUACCUUGACGGUACCUUUCGAGGAAGCCACGGCUAACUACGUGCCAGCAGCCGCGGUAAUACGUAGGUGGCAAGCGUUGUCCGGAUUUAUUGGGCGUAAAGCGCGCGCAGGCGGUCCUUUAAGUCUGAUGUGAAAUCUUACGGCUCAACCGUAAGCGGUCAUUGGAAACUGGGGGACUUGAGUGCAGAAGAGGAAAGCGGAAUUCCACGUGUAGCGGUGAAAUGCGUAGAGAUGUGGAGGAACACCAGUGGCGAAGGCGGCUUUCUGGUCUGUAACUGACGCUGAGGCGCGAAAGCG
rnacentral:rRNA from 1 species